GUGUUUUUAGUAUAUAUAGUACACUUACCUUCCAAGUAAGAAGAUUAAUUAAUAAAAAACAUA
rnacentral:tRNA from 1 species